rnacentral:rRNA from 1 species
UUGCAUAUCAAUAAGCGGAGGAAAAGAAACCAACAGGGAUUGCCCUAGUAACGGCGAGUGAAGCGGCAACAGCUCAAAUUUGAAAUCUGGCCUCGGCCCGAGUUGUAAUUUGCAGAGGAAGCUUUGGGCGCGGCACCGACCGAGUCCCCUGGAACGGGGCGCCAUAGAGGGUGAGAGCCCCGUAUGGUCGGACGCCUAGCCUGUGUAAAGCUCCUUCGACGAGUCGAGUAGUUUGGGAAUGCUGCUCAAAAUGGGAGGUAAAUUUCUUCUAAAGCUAAAUACCGGCCAGAGACCGAUAGCGCACAAGUAGAGUGAUCGAAAGAUGAAAAGCACUUUGAAAAGAGGGUUAAAUAGCACGUGAAAUUGUUGAAAGGGAAGCGCUUGUGACCAGACUUGCGCCCGGCUGAUCAUCCGGUGUUCUCACCGGUGCACUCUGCCGGGCUCAGGCCAGCAUCGGUUCUCGCGGGGGGACAAAGGCCCUGGGAACGUAGCUCCUCCGGGAGUGUUAUAGCCCAGGGUGCAAUGCCCUCGCGGGGACCGAGGUUCGCGCAUCUGCAAGGAUGCUGGCGUAAUGGUCACCAGCGACCCGUCUUGAA